GAUAAGAUGGUGUGCAGCCAAAACAACAAUUGGAUGCUGCUCAAAUUGAAAUAUUAUACAAUGCUCAAAUGUUAUACACAAACAGGAUCAAGAUGAACACAUAUUGCACAAGCAUUGAUAAUAUGUUCAAAAACAUACAUGUAUUGAUCAUAAGUUCAAAAACAGGACAAUCUUGACAAAGCAAAGUUUGGCCAUUUGGACCACCAUCUACAAAACACAAGCCACAUAAAAGGACCACUAUUUGUUGUUCUAAAGGAGUUCAAACACUAAAUGGUCCAGAACAAAGUCACACCCAUAAGCACAAGAUAUAUGCUCCAAAUCAGUUGAAGCACCAAAUGGUCCAGAACAGACAUAAGAUUCAUGAUCGCAAGUUAGCUGGUCCAAAAUACUGCAAACAGCCAAAUGCUGUCGAACAGUCCGAAGUAUCACAUCCAUGCGCAGUAGAUGGUUGAGUACCUGAAAAUGAAUGGUCAAAUUCUCAUAUGUUCACUCCAACGAUUCUGUGCACUUCAAAGUUUGAAAAUAUAUGUCAAAAACAAAUGUAGUCGUAUGUUGUCUAAUGAACUAGAAUUAAAAUGUAUAGCUUGAGACCAAAAAAACUGUAGUAUGUGAAGUUCUGUAAAUGCCAUGUGAUCUUUAGAUUGUGACAAUCAAAGUGUUAACACCAAACUGAUAGACGUAUGCUAACUACUAAGCAAUCUAUAUGAGCAUCAGAUUACGUCAUGUGAUUUCAUAUUUUUAAUUUUAAAACUGCAGUAUGUGGAGUUCAUUUUUAUAUACAAGACACAAAAAUGUUAUCUAGUGAUGCUAUAAUUUCACAAAUAUGUUUUACAAUUUCAGAUACACUGAAGUGUUAUGUGUGACACAUUUUCCUCGCUUGCCAUUUGGUUUACUCUGACGUACGAUAGUUAAUCCUUGUACUAGUGUUCUUAGUUCAAUAUUAUCUGAUCGAUAAACUAGCUAAAUGACAGGAAAAUCAGUCUUGGAGCAUUUGUGUGUUCAUCAAAAAUGAAAAGGGUUCCACAAGAGAACUAUGGAAAAUGGUUCAUGGGUUGUACAUAUUAUGUGUAAAUCAAAUGAUAACAUACUCGCAUCGCAUGUUUCUUAUGCAAACUAUUUUAGUUCAUAGGCUGCUUCUUCCACCGCACGUUGCUCUGAAAAGUGUGAAGACAUGUAUCAACCACCCUAUGAAGACGAAAACUAUGUUUAAUAAUAUAGAUAACUCGGCUCAUCCUAAAUCAAAUUAGAAAGUAAGCCAAGGGACUGCAAGUUAUGUCCUUGGUAAGUUUAUUGUAUGAACUUUUCAAAUGCACAAAGGAUUUUCAGGUAAUAUUAGUCCAUCACCAGAACAAACACGAAUAUCUCACAAAAGUACCAUGUACGAACAUUAUUAAGAUUUAAGUACUGCCUUAUUCUUGAACUAGAUCAUCAUUAUUAUGGUUGAACUUCUUGUAUCUUCCUACUGCUUACAAUCAGAAUGGGAUUGAUAGGCUAUAAUUAGUUAUAAAUAUGCUCAACCCACAAAUUAGCCAUCUUUCCCAUUUUAAGCAGACAUGUUAGCAUUAACUAGAAGAUUUCGUCAACUAUAUUAAUAUAUGUGAUAGCAAAUAAUGUACUAAAGUGGAAGCGAUGCAAGUAUUAGUGCAUCAAAUGGUGAUUCUGACUCUAAGAAGAUAUUUUCAAUACACAAAAAACGACGAGUUGGUACAAUCUAGAAACACAUUUAUAGUGUAUCAAGUUUGUUUUCUGCCUCCAGUUCAAUUUAACUGCUGCCAGAAAUAUAAGAUAGAUGCCAUAUGAAACCAAAAAAAGGAAAAUGCUACCAGCAAGUACGGAAAAAGGAGGAUCGACACCUGAAACCAAAACUCCCUUUGGUUACUUGUAUCUUCUAUAUACUUGAGUUACUAUCUGCUAAAAGGGGCAUUUUCAUGAAUAUUGGAACAACUGCAUGAUCUGGUUGAUAGUAUGUAUGAGAUAAAUGGCCAAUCAUUGCAGAAAUAUAAUUGGGGAGGGCAAGUAAAGAUAGCGGGCUAGCUGACAAAUAUUCAAAAUACUACGCCCGCUUUAGAGAGCGGUCUUAUGAAAGUUUACAGAGGGAGUACAAAUGAGGGAAGCAUCAUUACCUUCUCAAGACUUCCAAAUUUAUGAGAUAUAAGAAAUUUCAGCACCCAUCGUCUGGCAACCUAGCAAGCUUUAAAAAAAUUGGAGUGGAUUCCUGUCAGGCUGAUGGCCAUGUCAAAGUACCAUGUGUAGCAUGAAGAUGGACCAGGCAUAAAUUGCAGAUUAGAAGACUCAUCAAAGAGUGAACACUUGUUGCAGGAUCAGGCAGACACACCAUUGAUGCCAUGUAUGAGGGAGAAAACAUAGCAGCCACAAGUGGUGCAUUUUGUCAACAACAGAUGCAGUGUCGUGAGAUCUAACAAAAACACCGGUGGAAAGAAUUCAAAUCAAUUCCUAUUUUGUAGUCAAGGAAACAAAUAGAAGUAUAAUAGAGCACACAUAAUUCCACAAUGCAAAUAGGAUGGGAAAACAGAUCAUACUACUAAGUGAUGAAACUUUAAGCUUACAAUUUGAUAAUUUAUAGUUGGAAAUUUUUCCAAUGAGAAUAUUUCACUUCAGACCUUUGACUGUGCAACUGACGUUUUUGUAGUGAGUUAUAUACCUAUCAAACCUGCUACAAACUGGGUUAGAAUCUAAUUUUGUCCCAAAAUUUUGAAACCAACCCGGCCAUAUAUAGCAUCAACGAGAGCUUCUAGCCUACAUGCUAGCUACAAAAAGAGGUGGUACUCCAGAAUUAUUAUUUAUUAUAGCAAUAUCGUUAGUAUAGCUGGUUACACAUAUAUCUGAUUAACUCAUGAUGCUGAUGCAGACCUAGAAUUCAGAAACUUGAAUGCUUAGAAUUCAGGAACUAAAGUACCAUGUCAAUCUAGCCAUCGAUCGAGCCAAAGAAUUACAAAAUAAAACAAGGUAUGAUUGCUUUGCUUGUCAGUAGUAUACGUAUCCAACUAAUAACCACUGUAAUACUACACACUCUUCUUACACAAAAAGAUGCUGAUUAAGUGAGAAGGGAUCAGGUUAUGCUUCUUUCUUUCUUUUUUGCCGGGAGGACCAGGUUAUGCUUCAGAUCAACAACAUGUCCAAACCACUCCACAACAACUAACAAUGGUACAACUCUCAAGUUACAGCAAACUAGCAGUUCGAUCUACUAGAGACACAUGGUGGUACUCACGGUUGGAAAAACAAGAACAAAGAAAACAAAUUGGGGAUCCCACCAUCAGUGCUUACCUAGUAACACCCACUCCCUCCAGCCCGAGGUGCAAGGCGAUGAUGGACGGAGUUGUCGGAGGCUGUGACUCCAAGGAAGGGAGUAAGGGAUGGGGUCGGGGACUCGGGGACGUGGAAUGGGAUUGGGGUUGGGGGCGGUGGACGGACGGAUCUUGGGGACGGAUCUCAUGAGCCUGGAGAUGGAGCCCAGCAGCAGAGGGCAGAAGUCAAACAGUAGCAGGGCCGACAGCAGCGGCAGCCCGAAGAUGGAGCUCCGGCGGCAGCAAGAGCCCAGAUAUGGAGCCCCGCAGUAGCAGGUGCGGAAGCAGUGGGAGCCCAGAGAUGGAUCCCGGCAGCCACAGGACGGGGAUUGACGAUGACGUCGGCUGGACGUUGGGGGAGGGGGUUGUGCGCGGACAGCGACUGGAUGGACAGCGCGAGGACGGCGCCUCGAUAUAGGUCUGGAGCUCAGGGGAUUGAGUACGGCGGAUUGAGGACGGGGUGGAGUGUGAGGCCGGCGGCGGGGGAGUGCGAGCUCCGGGACGGGGGAUUGAGGACUGGGUGGAGCGCGAGGCCGGCGGUGAUGGUGGCACAGGAUUGGAUCGAGCGUGACGGCGGCGACAGCAGGCACAGGUUAGGGUUGGGUUCGAUUUGGGGUAUUUUGCACGGGGGAAGGGUAUUUU
rnacentral:lncRNA from 1 species